CAAAAAAAAAAAAAAAAAGUUUAAAGAACCAAUUAAACAAGACAAGCUGAGUAAUACAAUUAAAUAUUAGAGAAUUUUUCAAUUACAUUGUAAGGUCAAUGGGAUAUAAGCUCACAUUUUGUGCCAUAUCUGUCUAACUUUUAGUUUCUUGUUUCUUCCAAAAUCAGAAUAGUUGUAUAAUUGGUUAUGCAGGCAGCAGAUCAUUAAGUGAUUUAACUGAAGGUAGAGUUGGAGCAGCAGAUUACUGUUUGUAUUACUAAAUGUGAUACUUUUAGGGACUUUAUCAAAAAGUCCUCAAUUUUAUGGGCUUGUUGGGUUGACUCAUUCAAGUGGUUCUUAGACAUUUGUGUUGACUCAUCCAAACAGUUCUUACACACCUGUGUUGAGCUCACACAGCAUGUAUACUGCUCUGAAUCUAUUGAUUUAGGGGAGUUUCCCUUGGUUUAAGGUUGCAUAAAACCUUGGUUUAAGGUUGCAAAUCAGCCAGGUGGUUCUGCUUGUGUAGCCAAAGGAAUCCUGAUGACCGAGGAGCAAUCCCUUGCCUCAAAACCAAAUGGUGCAUUACCACUUACAUGAGAGGAACAACCCAGCCAACUAUCCAAGUGUUGUAUAAAAACAAAUGGUCACCAAGUCCUUGACUUCUCACUCAGUUGGGCAGACUUUAUAGCUGCAGUCUCAGACUUCCAAGGCUCUGCUGCUGCCCUCCUUGCUUGCCUUCAUCUUCCCCCCUUCCAUCUGAGGGGAUGCUGCUCCAUGUUAUUUGGGCGUUAUCCAUGGCCUGCAGCCGGGCGGGCAAGCAGCAGGGUGUCCACAGCUGAGCAAACAAUUGCCGGGCUGCUCCCCACGGCGUCCCGUGCGGCGGAAGAGGAAGCGCUGUCAAUCAUGGCACACAUGUGUACAGCGGGGAGCUGCCGAGGUUGUGAUGGGCACACGUCAAUUGUCUUGGACUGCCAGGGUGAGCAAGGAUACUUCAUCCAGUGCAGAGGUGGCCAGGUGGGUUACCAGCAACAUCAGAGCGGGCAUACAGAUGAAAGAAUUUAUAAGCUGUCAGUAAUCCUGCUCACAGGUGUGACCUGAGUAUUCCACAAUUCAGAACAAUUCAUUACAAGAUAUCUGUGCAAUAUACGCAAUUUAAGGAGUGCACAUCUGCAAAAGUACUAUAGCAUGGGUAUUAGUGAGAGAGUCAGUGGCA
rnacentral:lncRNA from 1 species